AGGUAGAUGGCAAGUGCCAACUGGUAGUUGGCAAAAUGUUAAAGAUCUUAUUGGCUUUAUUCAACAAUUCAUGAAUCGGGCAGCAUCCCAUCUAGCAGCUAGAAAGGAGCUCUGAGGAGCUGUACAAAAUAGAAGACUCCUAUGCAGGAGAGAUCAGGACAAGGGAUUUAUACCUGCUAAAAAAGGCUACCUUCCUAUAGGAGACAGCAGGAAUCUAUCAGUUAGAUGACCUCAUUAAUGUUGACCAGGAAGGACUGUCAAAUACGGAAGACCAAGCAUGAGCAAAGGAACUGGACUGAGACUGUGAGUUGGUGACCCAGAUAGGAUUACCUUCACUGGCUGGACACUGCUCAGUCUGAGGCUGCUACAGCUGAGAAAACUGGGACCUCUGACAACAAGCCAGCAGAAAGUAAACAUUCUUACCAAUUCAGUCUUCCAGGCUGCAAAAUCCAAUGGAAGCAAGAGUGAAGUGUUCCUGAAAAACUUCAUCUUUAGAGAGAUUCAUGGAAAGGACUUUUAAAGUAUUCUAGAAUAUAGAUUUCUGACAAUUUUAAGAUCAUCAAACUGAACUGGGUAAGAAAUUUCAAAAUUAAUGGAAAAACUGGAUUUAAGUAUAACAAAUAUUAAUUUCAUGGGACUGAAUGAACUGAUGAGGAUGAUUAUAAUUUUUUAUGACUUUUUGUUUGAAACAUCGCUGGUCCUUUUAAGUUUUGUUUUUCCAGAUUUAAGCAAACAUUCUUCUCUUUUCUUAGAGUAAUUUGGUAAAAUCUAUCUUUGUGAACAAAGAUGAAACAAUUACUUUUUUUCCCUGCCUGAUCCCUCCAGAAUUCAGAAACUCUCAGUGAGUAUUCUUAUUUUCACAGCAGUUAUUUGCCUAAGUUCCCUAAGACUCUGUUCUCCUUGUAACAGGACACAAUUAGAAACGUUGGUUACAUCACCAAGGCCUUGAAUGAAAUGUCAUAUUUGAGAGAAAUGUAUAUAGACUCAUAUAUGACCAGACAGCUUUAAGGAACUAAGGUUGACUUUAUGGAACCAAUAAAGCCCAUUGGAAAAAUAAGCCUGGACAACUUGAUAUCAGCUUUAGAGAAAUCACCAUGGUAGCUCAUGUAGGGGCAAUCUUUGUGCCUGUUACUGUGUGGCUACUCAGAAACCUCACCGGAGACAUUCAAACUGCAAUCCAGUAAGUACAUCAGAUUGACAUUGCCUGCCCUCACUCCACCUGAAAGGGCCACGAGCUGGACGUUGAGCAAUCCUCCCAACUGACCGCCUUCAGAACGCAGACACUAAGGUUACAGUCAGCUCCAAUCAUUAACCAUUGUUUUCUUUUGUUUCCAUAGAAAUGCCUCUUAUAAAGCACCUGAUUGCUUGCACCAUAGGCCUCACUUUUGGAGCCCACCUGCCUCACUGCCUCCUAAAAUGAGACACAACCGUUUAACUAAACUGAUCUAUUUUCAGACUAAGAGACUGGUUCAAUAGAUGGAGCAAUCUACCAACUCAACUUCUGGACUAUAAAAUUUCUUGAAUAGAUUUUAAAGGCAGGACAGGAGGAUUUCAGAAUGAGCCUCCCCAAAAUGUGCCACUUUGCCAUGUGGAUUUAUUUGAGCUGAAGACAGUCAAGGCCCAAAUGACUCAGGAAGAGCUUUUCACCUUUCCCCUUAACUGCCCAAAAGAAUUUAGAUUCGGGGCCUGGUCCAGGAAGAGAGCUAUCACCAAAGAUAGCUACAAAGAAUAUGGGCUAGGUGUGGUAAAUUGGGUGGGGAGAAGCUAGGCAGGGCCUGUGGGCCAAAUUCCUCUCUGUGUCCCAUUGUCUCUGUGUGGCAUGGCAAACAUUUGUUUACCAAACAUUUGCUUUUCCCAUCUUCCUGUAAAUUGUCUUCCUUCCGUUUGAAGCCCUAGACCCCUACCCUUUUCUCCUCAGCUCAGGAUGGCAUAUAAGUCUUAAUUGCCUGACUUCCUGUGGGUCUCAUAUUCUUAUGGGGCUCCCGUACACACAUAAUUAAAUUUGUUUUUCUCCUGUUAAUCUGUCUUAUCUCAAUUUAAUUAUUAGACCAGGCAAAUGAACCUUGAAGAGUGGAGGAAUUUUUUUCUUCUCCAACAGUAGAUAUUUGAUAAAGUUUCUCUAGGCCAAUACUGUUCAUCAGCACUCUAUUAUAAGCUAGUUUAUCAGUAUCUUUCUUCUGUAAUAGAAAUAGCUUUAUAGAUUUUCUUUCCUGAUUAUUAAAGUAAAGCGUUCUCAUUGUAAAUAUUUUCCAUUAUUACAAGAAAAUGUAAAGAAGAAAAAAAAGUCACUAAUAAUAUCCCCACCAGAAAUAUCUUCUCUUUCAGCUAGUUUUUUAUGGUAGCAGCUAGCUGAGAAAGGAUGGUACCUAUGACAAGUUCAUUCAACAUGAACACGGCCAAGAGAAAAGGAGAGACCUAAAUCAUAGAGCCAUGGCAAGGCAUCUGUGAGUUAAACACUUCACUGGAUAUGUUCCAGCUCAGCAAGGAAAAGCAUGAGGUCACUGGCUACUGAAGAAAGAGCACAUGAAAAAUAGGACAACAAAAACUAUAGUAAGGGAAUAAAGGAAGAGGCUUUUUUGCUGCCUUCAGAGAACUGAACCAGGACAUAUGUAGAAAAUUUGCAAGGAAUCCAUCUUUGACUCAAUUUAAACAACUUCCUAAUAAUCAGAAAGAUCUACAAAAACAAUAUAUUGCCUUCUGAGAUAGUAAGCAUCCUGUCCCUGGAGGUGUCCAAAUAGCUUAGAUGUUAAAGAAAAAAUUAUUCAUGGUACUCAUCAAAAGAUGGUAAGGCAGACUUUAUUCAAGGUGGGAGGUGGGGGGUGGCUACUACAAUGGGGUUUUAUAGUAAGGGAAAGAGAUGAGGUUCAACUCCAAAUACAAGGAAAAGUGGAAAUUUACAGCCAAGGAGCAGAGAGGGAGUCAGAGGAUUAAAAAUUACUAAGAGGAAACAUCAGGGGUAAGAGAGGAUUCUGGCUAAAUUAACCUAAUAGGAUUCUUGCUGAAGGCAUAUGCCAGGGUGAUCAGACCUCAGCUGGGGAAUGGUGGAGGAUGAACAACUCCAUCAGAUAUUGAGGGUAGAGGAUUCUGGUUAAACUGAUUUAGCAGAAUUCUUGCUAAAACUGGACGAUGAAAAGUUGAACAUAGAAACACAAGAGUCAGAGCCUAGUUGAGAAGAGAGUUCAGAGGAGCCCAAUGAGAGUUUUGAUCAAGGAGACAAUCUUUGUUACUGAGAGAGAUGCAUUCAUUUACUCAGUCAGCAGGUAAUUAGAUCAAUAUUUAUUGAGCACCUGAUACUUAACAAAUGAUGUUAUAGGUUCUGGGGAACCAAAGUCAAACGAGACCCAGUGGUCCUUGUCCUCAAGUGGCCAUCUGUCAUGAGCAGGAUGUUGCUAUAACAGGUGUGAGGGCAGACCAGAUGACUUCUGAGAUCCUUUCUAACCACAGCAUCCAAUGAGUCUUAGCUUCUGCGAAGUCUGGUCCCAGCAAACCUCACCAAUACGUUCCAGCUUGAAUGUGAGUAGAGAAGAUGGGAGGGCUCCCUGUGAUGCAUUGCUAUCUCCUGUCCAAGAGGGCCUAUUUCUUCUCCUCUAAGGGAGGAGCUAAAGAGUGGCUGCAUUUCUAGUUAGGUUUAGGAAAAUCCACUUUCCAAGAUGGUGUGGAUUUUUACAGGGUUUUAUUUAAGUUAAAUCAUGGGGCAAACUUGACUCAUGACCAAAGGAUUCUUUAUUUCAUAAAACAUCCUGUUUUAUGUUUUAUGUUUUAUGUGUUCUUCAAUCGCAAGCUCUCCUCAUACCUUUACAAUUGGAUUUGAUCUCACCAGAAAAUAAUCCUUUGAGGAGGUUACCUAUUCGAGAAAUCAAGCCCCACAUGUUUAAUUCCAUGGACCUUUGUUUGCUCAGCUUCACCUCUUCACACAGGUACAUCAGCUUCUCCCCAUCUCCUUGCUGCCUGCUCAAAAUCCCUUUCCACCAUUACAGUGGAUCUUGGACCUCUACAGAGAGACAGCUUUGUGCAUAUCUAUAUGACGGGAGAGAAAAGACUUGCAAGUCACUGGAUUUUGGGCUGAUGAGGACGUUAGGGGCAGAUGAAGUGGUCCCCUCAUGUGAAUUGAAUAUUAGGUACGUUGUCCCUGGACAAACAUCCUGCUCCAGCCUACCUCCUAGAAACUCAAACAGUACCCUGACACUGGUCCUUGAUGCCCAGCUGCCUGGAACCCCAGCUUGGCUGUUUUACUCCAACACACGCCUGGAACCAGACCCCGCUUCUUUUUCCUUCUUUCCCAGUCUCUUCUCAUUUGCAGAACAUACUCACAUUGACCUCAACUCAAAAGUUUUAUUUUAUUCUUCUCUUUCAUAAAACCCCUAAAUGAAAUUUUAAUGACAUCCUAGUUAAUUAACAUACACACCUAGGCCACAGCAGUGAGAGGCCCGCAUACCGCAAAAAAAAAAAAAAAAAAAAAAGUACUAGAUAGGCAGUAGGGUAAGUUGUCUGGGUGUCUUUAGCAGACAGUUCCUUGAAGGAGUCGCUUAAAAGAGCAGAGGGAAGAGGAGAGAGGCAAAUGGCAAGUCUUGGUGGUGGAAAGCCUCCUUCUGAAGCUGAGAUUUGAAUUCCUGUCAGCAGAGCAGAUGUGGAGGGACGUGUACAUUAUUCUCUACAAAAAUGUACGCAGCCUGAAGGAUAAGUUGAGGCUAAAGUCCAGGCCUGGCACAGGGUUACAUUGACCCAGAGUGGGCAUCUUUUCUAAGCCCCAUAAAGGCACUGAAUAUCUUAGCUUCUGUCUUCACAGCCUUCAUAGUCCUCAGCCUGUUCCCCUGCCUUGGAGAAGGCUGGAAGCAGCAGGACAAAACCCUGCAUCAUCACCAUGUA